GAGAAUAGCCAGAAGCAACAAAAACUGCUAAUUUUUGUCCCCAUGGUUAAAACCCAUGGUUUUCUCG
rnacentral:tRNA from 1 species